rnacentral:rRNA from 1 species
UGGGGAAUAUUGGACAAUGGGGGCAACCCUGAUCCAGCCAUGCCGCGUGUGUGAAGAAGGCCUUCGGGUUGUAAAGCACUUUAAGCAGGGAGGAAAGGGCAACGGUUAAUACCCGUUGCAGUUGACGUUACCUGCAGAAUAAGCACCGGCUAACUUCGUGCCAGCAGCCGCGGUAAUACGAAGGGUGCAAGCGUUAAUCGGAAUUACUGGGCGUAAAGCGCGCGUAGGCGGUUUGGUAAGUUGGAUGUGAAAUCCCCGGGCUCAACCUGGGAACUGCAUCCAAGACUGUCAGGCUAGAGUACGGGAGAGGGGGGUAGAAUUCCACGUGUAGCGGUGAAAUGCGUAGAGAUGUGGAGGAAUACCGGUGGCGAAGGCGGCCCCCUGGAUCGAUACUGACGCUGAGGUGCGAAAGCGUGGGGAGCAAACAG